UGGGGAAUUUUGGACAAUGGGGGCAACCCUGAUCCAGCAAUGCCGCGUGUGUGAAGAAGGCCUUCGGGUUGUAAAGCACUUUUGUCCGGAAAGAAAACGCCGUGGUUAAUACCCGUGGCGGAUGACGGUACCGGAAGAAUAAGCACCGGCUAACUACGUGCCAGCAGCCGCGGUAAUACGUAGGGUGCAAGCGUUAAUCGGAAUUACUGGGCGUAAAGCGUGCGCAGGCGGUCCGCUAAGACAGAUGUGAAAUCCCCGGGCUUAACCUGGGAACUGCAUUUGUGACUGGCGGGCUAGAGUAUGGCAGAGGGGGGUAGAAUUCCACGUGUAGCAGUGAAAUGCGUAGAGAUGUGGAGGAAUACCGAUGGCGAAGGCAGCCCCCUGGGCCAAUACUGACGCUCAUGCACGAAAGCGUGGGGAGCAAACAGGAUUAGAUACCCUGGUAGUCCACGCCCUAAACGAUGUCAACUAGUUGU
rnacentral:rRNA from 1 species